rnacentral:siRNA from 1 species
UAUUACAUGCUGUUUUUCAAAAU